GGGGGGUUAGCUCAGUUGGGAGAGCGUCAGGAUCGCACCCUGAAGGUCAGGGGUUCAAAUCCCCUACCCUCCACCA
rnacentral:tRNA from 8 species